CAUGCAGUCGAGGGGCAGCAUAAAAGUAGCAAUACUUUGGUGGCGACCGGCGCACGGGUGAGUAACGCGUAUGCAACCUACCUAUCAGAGGGGAAUAACCCGGCGAAAGUCGGACUAAUACCGCAUAAAACAGGGGCACCGCAUGGUGAUAUUUGUUAAAGAAAUUCGCUGAUAGAUGGGCAUGCGUUCCAUUAGGUAGUUGGUGAGGUAACGGCUCACCAAGCCGACGAUGGAUAGGGGAACUGAGAGGUUGGUCCCCCACACUGGUACUGAGACACGGACCAGACUCCUACGGGAGGCAGCAGUGAGGAAUAUUGGUCAAUGGGCGGGAGCCUGAACCAGCCAAGUCGCGUGAAGGAAGAAGGAUCUAUGGUUCGUAAACUUCUUUUGCAGGGGAAUAAAGUGCAGGACGUGUCCUGUUUUGUAUGUACCCUGAGAAUAAGGAUCGGCUAACUCCGUGCCAGCAGCCGCGGUAAUACGGAGGAUCCGAGCGUUAUCCGGAUUUAUUGGGUUUAAAGGGUGCGUAGGUGGUUUGAUAAGUCAGCGGUGAAAGUUUGCAGCUUAACUGUAAAAAUGCCGUUGAAACUGUCGGACUUGAGUGUAAAUGAGGUAGGCGGAAUGCGUGGUGUAGCGGUGAAAUGCAUAGAUAUCACGCAGAACUCCGAUUGCGAAGGCAGCUUACUAAGCUACAACUGACACUGAAGCACGAAAGCGUGGGGAUCAAACAGGAUUAGAUACCCUGGUAGUCCACGCAGUAACGAUGAUUACUAGCUGUUUGCGAUACACAGUAGGCGGCACCAGGCGGAAAGCCGUUAA
rnacentral:rRNA from 1 species